rnacentral:tRNA from 2 species
GUGGCCGUAGUGUAGAGGUUAACACGCUAGGUUGUGGCCCUGGAGGCGAGGGUUCAAUUCCCUCCGGCCACCCCA